rnacentral:rRNA from 1 species
AAUUGGAGGGCAAGUCUGGUGCCAGCAGCCGCGGUAAUUCCAGCUCCAAUAGCGUAUAUUAAAGUUGUUGCAGUUAAAAAGCUCGUAGUUGAAUUUCGGGGUCAGUAGAUUGGUCGUGCCACAGGUAUGUACUGGUCUUACUGGCUCCUCCUUCCUGAUGAACCGUAAUGCCAUUAAUUUGGUGUUGCGGGGAGACUGGACUGUUACUUUGAAAAAAUUAGAGUGUUUAAAGCAGGCUAACGCUUGAAUACAUUAGCAUGGAAUAAUGAAAUAGGACGUUCGAUCUUAUUUUGUUGGUUUCUAAGAUUGACGUAAUGAUUAAUAGGGAUAGUUGGGGGCAUUAGUAUUCAAUUGUCAGAGGUGAAAUUCUUGGAUUUAUUGAAGACUAACUACUGCGAAAGCAUUUGCCAAGGAUGUUUUCAUUGAUCAAGAACGAAAGUUAGGGGAUCGAAGACGAUCAGAUACCGUCGUAGUCUUAACCAUAAACUAUGCCGACUAGGGAUCGGAUGAUGUUAAUUUUUUAAUGACUCAUUCGGCGCCUUACGGGAAACCAAAGUGU